GUGCUCGCUUGGCAGCACAUAUACCAAAAUUGGAACGAUACAGAAAGGAUUAGCAUAGCCCCUGCACAAGAAGACAUGCAAAUUUGUGAAGCAUUCCAUAUUUUU
ensembl:snRNA U6 U6 spliceosomal RNA